CAUUAGCCCCGUAUUUGGACCCGACUUUCGCUCAUUACUUUAUUCGUAUAUCAUUCAUUGUCUUGGGAUUUGGUGGAAGUUAUCUGAGACCCUUGGAGACCUUAACCAACGUUUUUGUUUUGUGCGAAUUGGUCUAGUUUUUCUCUUGAUCGAGCCAUUUCGGAGACCCACUGUUACGAUCUUGCUGAGUUUACUGUCACUGUCAGUUUUGUAUGUCAAUGAAGAUGGCGAGCCCAGUAAUCCGCGUAAUCAACCCAGAUGCCCCUCCAUAUCGUCAGCAGGCCGUAUUGGUGGCGACAAAAGAGGCCCGUUACUAUCGGGAGAAAAGGAUGCUCUUUCCCAAACCUCCACAGGAGCUGCGGAACCAGGCUACAGCCUUGGCUCAUGCAGAGAAGCUCCUUCGAGCGGAGGGUAUCCACACUCCUUCGCGUCAGCUGUGCCUGGGAAAGCUGGUGAAGCUCCUUCGAGCGGAGGGUAUCCACACUCCUUCGCGUCAGCUGUGCCUGGGAAAGCUGGUGAUACCAUUUGGCCAGUAUGAAAACGCAUCUUUUCACUGGCUUGUGGAAAACGAUGUGGGCUACUUGAAGUACAACCGCAGGCAAGCACCUCCAAGUGUGAUCCUUCAUCAUGGCCAGGGGACGACAGUGAACUGUUAGCUGCAAGCCAGGCUGUUGAAGACACAAUCAAACAGUUCGAGCCCCCUGUCCGGCCCAAGCAGCCCGAGCCCCUGUCCGGCCCAAGAAGCCCGAGCCCCCUGUCCGGCCCAAGCAGCCCGAGCCCGCUGUCCGGCCCAAGAAGCCCGAGCCCGCUGUCCGGCCCAAGCAGCCCGAGCCCGCUGUCCGGCCCAAGAAGCCCGAGCCCGCUGUCCGGCCCAAGCAGCCCGAGCCGCCUGUCCGGCCCAAGAAGCUUGAACCCGCUGUCCGGCCCAAGAAGCCCGAGCCCGCUGUCCGGCCCAAACAGCCCGAGCCCCCUGUCCGGCCCAAACAGCCCG